ensembl:lncRNA
AUCACCCCCAGUAAAGAUGGAGAGAAUAAGGGUGGGAGGAUUGGGAGAACAGCUGUGUGCUAUAGCACAUUGACCUUGAAGGUCAGUAUCAGGUUAACAAGGCCUUUAGAUUCACAUUUCUGGCCCUUUCCAUGUGAAGGGCACAUCUGAAGCUGGCUGCAGUCACUGGAAGCAGGAGUGGAAAAAUGUCACUCACAUCGCAGAGAUGGAGAAGCAACAGAAUUCCUGAGUCUGGGGAGGAGAGCUACAAACCGGAUAGACUUUGCUGGGGUGGCUGUGAGGACGUCGCUGGUGGAUCGCCUCGUGGUAAAGCACAGCCACUCAGAUGAAGAAAAGCAUGAACUGUAAACAAAGGACUGCAAGAAAUGAAUGCGCUGUGCUACAGAGGGACGUCCAGGAACGCAUUAUUCAUUGUCUGGGAGUGGUGCUUAGAUCAAUUUUCUUGCGUAGCAGUUGUACAGCGGCCACUUGUUCAAAGCAAAACUUCCGUUCUCUGAGCCAGCGAAUCUUCUCUGCUUUAAUGGCACUUACAGACAUCCUACGUGGGGCCGGUAUUCCCUGCAGACCUGUAGAAAACCCAGCACGCUCCUGACCAGCUCUUCUUCAGCUAUUCUGUGUCCUUUUCGUUACCGUGUUCAGCCUUCUGCCCUUGCUCAUAACCUAGCUGAAAUUGCACACAGCUGUGACUACAUCCGCAACUUCUCCUCUCCCCAAAGGCCCGUUCUCUCAGAGGAUGAGAUGAAUGUAUUUCUCCACUCAGCCACUCUGAAAACUCUUUUCCAAGGGAUGUGUCCUCUCUGAACUUGGCAGGGAAUGUGUUUGACA